UGCAUACAUACUGAAUCAGGUGCCUUUGCGACAGCAAAGGGUAACAGGGAAUCGGGUGCAAAUCCCGAGCGGUCCCGCCACUGUAUUCGGGGAGUUUCUCCCAGCAUGUCACUCGAUCAUCCAUCGGGGAAGACGGGAGAACACGACGAUCCGAGAGCCAGGAGACCUACCUGAUUUAUGCACCCCAA
rnacentral:ncRNA from 1 species